rnacentral:lncRNA from 1 species
CCCUCCUCUCUCCCUCCUCUCCCUCCUCCCUCUCUCUCUCUCUCUCUCUCGUUUUUCUCUUCCUUUCUCUUUCUCUCUCACCCUCUCUGUGCAACUCUCUUGGUCAUUCUCCUCUCUCUGUGCAACUCUUUCCUAUCCAGUAUUUUGCUCUGCAAAUUCCAUCCACCUUUGCCUCUGAAUUCUCAACUCCGUCUCCUCAGCGCAGGAAGACCUUCAGACUCCCAGCACGGUGGCCAGGAAACACUCUGCAAGCAAAAGCUAAAACCUGGAAAUGGGAGGCGGGUUCAAUCUUAUCAGCUGUAAUGAACUACCCAGACUCCCUUGAAGAUAAGUCAUUUCAUUAAGAAAACAGCAGCAAACCCCAAUAGAAGGGCAUCUUAUGAUAUACCUGACCCGUACUCCUCAAAACUCUCAAAGACAAGGAAAGCCUGAGAAAUUAACAGUCAAGAAGAGCCUAAGGAUACAGGAUCACUAAAUGUAAUAUGGUAUGCUGUAUGGGAUUCUGGAGGAGAAAAAUCACAUUAGGUAAAUGGUGAGGAAAUCUGAAUAAAGUAUGAAUUUUAGUUAAUAAUGUAUCAUUGUUAAUAAUUAAUUGUAACAAAUGUACCACACUAAUGUAAGCUGUUAAUAAUAGGUAAAAUGGGGUUUGGGGGAGAUGGGAACUCUGCACUAUCUUUGCAAUUUUUCUGCAAAUCUAAAACUGUUCUAAAAUAAAAAGGGUGCUUUAAAAUAUGCAUUGCAGAAUCAAGAAAAUACAGUGUAUAAAGCACUCAUUGGGGAUAACAAAUACUGCCCUCCCAUCUUCCAUCAGAAGAAAAACACUGGGAAUGUGAUAUUGAUUUGUGUAUUUGCACCUAACGGAUCCUUAAUGAAUUUGCCAAGGAUAAUUAAUAAAUAUGCCAGUUCAUGUUGUGAGCUUAAGUGAAAAAUAUAGUUCUUAUAUUCCUUGAGCAAAUUCAUUUUUCAAAGCAUCAUGCUAGGCACUUAAUUAUUGAAUGAUCACAUCAAGCCCAUGGGGAUUACGCCUUUAAAAAAAUAAAAAAAACUAGGAUCUAAGCUGUUAAGAAAUGUUUGCUAGGGCUGCCAUAAAAAAGUACCGCAGACUGGGUGGGUUAUUUUCUCACAGUUCUAAAGUUCAGAAGUCUGAGAUCAAGGUGUUGGCAGGGUUUAUUUCUUCUGGGGCCUUCCUCGGGUUUUCAGUUGGCUGUCCUAAUUUCCUCUUCUUGAAAGGACACUAGUCAGAUUAGGGCCCACAUGAAUAAUUUCAUUUUAACUUAAUUACCUUUUUAAAGACUGUAUCUCCACAGUCACAUUCUGAAGUACUAUGAGUUAGGAUGUCAAAUUAUGCAUUUUGUUGGGGGACACAAUUUAGCCCAUAACAAUGUCCACAUUGAUCUCUUUGACUACUACCCUCACCCCAGUGAUGGAGGUAUGAUUCUAAUCGAGAUCUUUAGUACUCCAAAGCUGGUGCUCAUUUCUUUAUAGUAUCAUAGUGGUCACCAGCCAUGGUUUAUUUAUGUCUUCUAGAAUACUUCAGCCACAGGAGAAGCUAAAUUUGUCCAGCUUUGUUUUAUCUUUUUUUUUCUUUUACAUGAUAUUCCAUAGUAAACAUUUUACUUAAAAGUGGGAACUAGUGCUAUAGUGAUAUAGUAGAUUCCAAGACAGACCUAUAUUUAGACACUGUUCUGCUACUCUAUACUGUGCUCUGUUUCUCCCAAGAUUUUUAGUGAGCAUUAAAUGAGAUACAGAUAAACACUUGGCUUGAAACAAAAGAUGAUCAGCAUUUCCCUUAUUAAGAGAAAAUAGUAUUAUAGAAAAUCUACCUCUCAAGUCAGUACAGUAAAUACAUGAGGAGUUCAGUGAAAUGUUCUUUAAGAAUUUGGAAGUGAAAGAAAUAUGAUUGCCUUUUGAGAGUUAAACUUUAAAAUCAUCACAUAAUGGAUAAAAACAGUCUCUUCUAGCAGCAGGAGUUGAUGUAAUAUGACUGGAGCUAUUAAUACAGCUAACGGAAGGAUGUGUCACUCCAAGGUAGGGGGUUGGACAGCCCAUGGGAGCUUAGGAAAAGGAGUCACAGAGACAAAUAUUAGCAGAACCCAUCUGGGUACUUUUGGGAAACAGGAAAUUUGAGCCAGUAGAUUUUUUUAAAUAUUAAGUUCCCAUUGCCAAGUUUCCAACUGUGUGAUUAAUACUUUAGCCUGUUUUAGUCUUAAACCAUAAAACAUUCACACAUUCCAAUGAGCUUCUUGUACUUGAAAACCAAUUGUACCUGAUCUCAGUAUGAUAUAGAUGUGCUUACAGAGAUUGUGUGGGUCUAUCAUGCUAACCUGGGUAUUUAGCAACCUGUUGUUUUUUUACUGUAAUUAAAUAGAACUUUAUGUAUUUGGUUAAUGUGACUGAGCAAUAGAUCCAUUAUUUGUGUACUUAGAAAGUCUGGUUUCUGCCUCUGAAUGACUAUGAACCCAAUUCUUCCAUAUUUUGACUUUAACCUAUAAGGGCUAAGAUUUAGGGUUAUUAGAUUUAGCAAAUAAGGAUAUAGAAAAACCAGUUAAAUUUGAGUUUCAGAUAAACAAUGGAUUUUUUUUUUCAGUAUAAGUAUGUUUCAGACAAAAUUUGGGAUAUGCUUGUGUAAAAAGUGUUGAAUGUUCAUUUGAAAUUCAAAUCUAACUGGCCAUUCUGUACUUUACCUGACAACUAUAGAGAGACCUCUUUUAAUACAGCUGCUAGUAUUAAUAUACUUAAAGCCCUUAGCACAGACUCAUACAUAAACACUAUAAAUGGUAACACAUUUCCUGUCUUAUGUAAACAAAGUUAUAGUAUAUGAAAAGUAAUCACCUUUGUUGACACCUAUUAACUAAAUAGAAGGCCCAUAAUCCUGUGCCCUUUUACUCUUCACAACGGAGACCUCAAAGGUCGGUUAUUGACUCUUCUGUUUAAGCAAGAUCAUGUUGCUUGUAUUUUGACCAUGAAGUUUCCAAAUAAUAAAAUAUUUAUGAAAUGGCCAAAAACUUUUGCUUCCCCUCUAAACCUGAGUGAUUAUAAAAUAGUCUAAACUCUUCCCUUCAACAUUCCUUCCUGCUGGCUGGGACGGACUUAUGGUGCACCUUAACCCAAGUGUCCCAGGGUUUAAAAAGUGCUUCUUUUCAACAGAGCCAUACUACUUCUAAUCACUUUCUAUUAGCACAGGGGGCGUGGCAUGAACAUGUAACUGACAUGAACUGCUCUAAAACUUGUGUAGGCAAUUUUCCUUCAAGGUAAAUGAAUGUCAGUGUAGGAGAGGAUAAACAUCUUUCCUUCAUCUAUCCUAGGUUCAUAGCUGAGGCCCCUAUAACAAAAGACAGAUUGGCAAAAGAAUAGCAUACCGAUUUAUUUAAUUUGUAUAUAAUAUACAAAUUUGUAUGUGAUACAGGAGCCUUCAUAAGGAAAUAAAGACUCAAAGCAACAGUUAAACAUGACUGUAUUUUAUUGAAGGUUUGAAGAGUGGACCACCGUGGAGAAAUAAGAUGGAAUAAAGGGGAUAUAAUCUAAUGGAAACUAGGGGAAAUUUAGAAAAGCCUGUUUGUUCAGAUUCCUCUCUGUGUCCUUUCAUCUUCAAAGAUAAGGAUGGUCCUUUCCUCUGGAUAUAGGGAGAGCAUUUCUCACAAGAGGGUCUUAUGACUUGCUUUAGGGGAAGGUCAGAAAAACCUUCCUAGGUGUUACGACCUGUUUUACAAGAAGAGGGUAGAGGAAGAUGAGAAUGAACUUUCUACCUUGUGGUUUUCUCAAAUUCCUCAGCUUCAGCUAUUUUAGGGUAGCAAGCCCUGGACCUCAUCAUUGGAAGAGUGAGUAAGGCUUGGCACAAAGAAGCAGCUAUAAUCUAGGCUAUCCAAAGCCCUAAGAGACUUCUAAAAUAAAAUAAGAAAAUCUUGAUGAGUAAUUCAAUAUUCCCUUUUUCCACAUUUGUCUGCUACACCAGAAAUUUUCGUAAGAUUAAAAGCUGUUAACUAAUCUUUUCAAUUACUUGGUUUAUUAAGCUAUCCAGGCAGCAACUUUCUCUAGAUAAUUUGUGUCAAGCUAAUCAAUACAUUCUUCCAUUUGUUUUUCCUUCUUUUGCAUUGUUCUUUAAG